ACUGUAGGAAAUGUGAGCACGAUAUGCCGGCAAAAUAGCUUGGUUUCUCGAUGAAUUGACGUGGGGUACCCCUUAUAGGUAACGCUUUGGUCCUUACUAUGAGAGCAGCGCGCGUACGCCCAUAAUUGAAGGUGAAAGCGAUCGAGCCUUGGUGGCUUUACUGGCGGUAAUGUGAGCAGGACAUACCGGCCAAAUAGCUUGGUUUCUCGAUGAAUUAACGUGGGGUACCCCUAGGAACCGCUUCGGUCCUUACUAUGGGAGCAGCGUGUGCGCGCAUAAUUGAAGGUGAAAGCGAUCGAGCCUUGGUGGCUUUACUGGCGGUAAUGUGAGCACGAUAUGCCGGCCAAAAAGCUUGGUUUCUCGAUGAAUUAACGUGGGGUACCCCUAGGAACCGCUUCGGUCCUUACUAUGGGAGCAGCGUGUGCGCGCAUAAUUGAAGGUGAAAGCGAUCGAGCCUUGGUGGCUUUACUGGCGGUAAUGCGAGCACGACAUGCCGGCCAAAAAUCUUGGUUUCUCGAUGAAUUAACGUGGGGUACCACUAGGUAUCGCUUCGGUUCUUACUAUGAGGGCAGCGCGUGUGCGCGCAUAAUUGAAGGUGAAAGCGAUCGAGCCUUGGUGGCUUUAGUGGCGGUAAUGUGAGCAAGAUAUGACGGCCAAAUAGCUUGGUUUCUCGGUGAAUUAACGUGGGGUACCCGUAUAGAGGUCCGCGCGUGCGCGCAUAAUUAAAGGUGAACGUGCAUGAAUGCGCAUGAAUGGAUUAACGAGAUUCCUGAUGUCCCUAUCUACUAUCUAGCGAAACCACAGGCAAGGAUAGGACUUGGCAGAAUUAGAUUGAUUUUGAUCUUCAGUAUGAGUACAGACCGCGAAAGCGUGGCCUAUCGAUCCUUUUUUGAACUCGCGAGUUUUAAGAAAGUGGUGCCAGAAAAUUUACCACAGGGAUAACUGGCUUGUGGCACCAAAGCGUUCAUAGCGACGUUGCCUUUUGAUCCUUGGACGGAGUAGGAUAGGAUAGGAUAUGCAUGUUUAUCCCCGUGAAUGGGAAAACCCGAGGGGUUAUCACACGGGCAAUCGUCAGAUCACCUCGCGCCCAUCGCCGGGUUACCGGAGCUAUUGCAGUGUGUUGUAUGUGAUAGACACGUUCCUUCAAUUUGGUAGAACCCAUUAAUCCGCUGGGUUCAGGCAAUGUCCGUAAAGUGCCUUGCCCAAGGACACAACCGACUAGCUAGCGACCAGUUUCGCACCUGCAACCUUUCGAUUGAAAGGCGACGCACUUAACCGCUAGACCAUCGGGCCGGACACAAACGAUUCAGACAUUUGGUUAAUGUGAUGGGCUGUUAAGCCAAUGGUGCGAAGCUUCGUACUAUCCGAGGGAUUUUGACUGAACGCCUCUAAGUCAGAAUUCCGCCUGUAAUCCUGCGAGACCGAGAGUAAACGAUUCAGUCAUUUGGUUAAUGUGAUGGGCUGUUAAGCCAAUGGUGCGAAGCUACGUACUAUCCGAGGGAUUUUGACUGAACGCCUCUAAGUCAGAAUUCCACCUGGAAAGCGACGAUGCAUUCCUGCCUCGGCCUCGAGAGGCGUAUAGAUAUACGGCCACGUGGCCGUGGAAGGAGCCCGAUUCCGACCCAAUAGGCCGUGGCAAGAUGCGGCCGGGAAGAAGGUCAACCUCUGCUUGAAAGGCGAGGCGAGGUGCUAUAAAUCAUGGAAGAGACUCAAGAUAUGUCGGUUUGUCCGCCGAGGGUGCGGGCGUGCGAUCUCUGCACGGAGUGCGGGGGUUGUUUUUUUUUUGUUUUUUUUCCUUGCCGCCGCGUCCCG
rnacentral:ncRNA from 1 species